rnacentral:lncRNA from 1 species
GGAAUCCACGCAGAAUCCAAGUGCCUGGGUAACGUGGCUGAGAGAGUGGCUGCGUCAGCUGAGCUGUGAGUUUCCUAAGAAACAUCAGACCCCAAAACCAACAGAGCCAAUUGUGUGAUCCUUAUGAUCAAGCAACAUGACUCUCUAGUGAUACAAGGGAAUAUUUUUGAAGAACCUAAAGCCGAUAU